GCAAGUCGAACGAAGGCCCUAGCUUGCUAGGUGUCCUUAGUGGCGCACGGGUGAGUAACACGUGGGAACAUACCUUAUAGUACGGAAUAACUGCGGGAAACUGUAGCUAAUACCGUAUAUUCCAGUAAUGGGAAAGAUUUAUCGCUAUAAGAUUGGCCCGUGCAAGAUUAGCUUGUUGGUGAGGUAAAAGCUCACCAAGGCUUCGAUCUUUAGCUGGUUUGAGAGGAUGAUCAGCCACACUGGGACUGAGACACGGCCCAGACUCCUACGGGAGGCAGCAGUAGGGAAUAUUGGACAAUGGGGGCAACCCUGAUCCAGCAAUGCAGCGUGAGUGACGAAGGCCUUAGGGUUGUAAAACUCUUUCAUCGGUGAGGAUAAUGACAGUAGCCGAAGAAGAAGGACCGGCUAAUUCCGUGCCAGCAGCCGCGGUAAUACGGAAGGUCCUAGCGUUGUUCGGAAUUACUGGGCGUAAAGCGCAUGUAGGCGGAACAGAAAGUUAGAAGUGAAAUCCCUGGGCUCAACCUAGGAAUUGCUUUUAAGACUUCUGUUCUGGAAUUCAGGAGAGGAAAAUGGAAUUUCCAGUGUAGAGGUGAAAUUCGUAGAUAUUGGAAGGAACACCAGUGGCGAAGGCGAUUUUCUGGACUGAUAUUGACGCUGAGAUGCGAAGGCAUGGGUAGCAAACGGGAUUAGAUACCCCGGUAGUCCAUGCAGUAAACGAUGGGUGCUAGUCGUCGGACUUUUGUUCGGUGUCGUAGCUAACGCGUUAAGCACCCCGCCUGGGGAGUACGGUCGCA
rnacentral:rRNA from 1 species